GAUUUCCCAUCCGAAAGGAGUAAGACCCCUUAGAGACUAUGAGGUAGAUAGGUUGGAGCUGUAAGUACAGUAAUGUAUUCAGGUGACCAAUACUAACGGUUCGAGGGUUUGACCUA
rnacentral:rRNA from 1 species